rnacentral:tRNA from 1 species
UCCCUGGUGGCUCAGAGGUUAAAGCGUCUGCCUGCAAUGCGGGAGACCAGGGUUCAAUCCCUGGGUUGGGAA